UACGUAGGGGCCGAGCGUUGUCCGGAGUUACUGGGCGUAAAGCGCGCGCAGGCGGCUCGUCAAGCCUGACGUGAAAGCCCCCGGCUCAACUGGGGAGGGUCACGCGAUACUGAUCGACUGGAAGGCAGGAGAGGGUAGUGGAAUUCCCGGUGUAGUGGUGAAAUGCGUAGAUAUCGGGAGGAACACCAGUGGCGAAGGCGACUACC
rnacentral:rRNA from 1 species